UACGUAGGGGGCAAGCGUUGUCCGGAAUUAUUGGGCGUAAAGAGCGCGUAGGCGGUCCGAUAAGUCGGCUGUGAAAGUCAGGGGCUCGACCCUUGAAAGCCGGCCGAUACUGCCGGACUAGAGUCCGGAAGAGGCAAGUGGAAUUCCCGGUGUAGCGGUGAAAUGCGCAGAUAUCGGGAGGAACACCAAUGGCGAAGGCAGCUUGCUGGGACGGUACUGACGCUGAGGCGCGAAAGCUAGGGGAGCGAACGGG
rnacentral:rRNA from 1 species